AUCCAUAGCGAAGUUGGUAACGCACGGGAUUGCAAAUCCCUAACCGUCGGUUCGAAUCCGGCUGGAU
rnacentral:tRNA from 1 species